rnacentral:sRNA from 1 species
GAUGGGCAUGGUGGCGCAUGCCUGUAAUCCCAGUGGCUUGGGAGGCUAAGGCAAGAGGAUUGCGAGUUCCAAGCCAGCCUCAGCAACUUAGUGAGGUGCUAAGAAACUCAGUGAGCCCCUGUCUCUA